AAAAUAUAGUCAUAAUAUGUGACACUGCAUUAGAUGUGCAGUGAGCUGGAGCACAAAAGGAUGUUCUUAAGUACUGCAGACCUGAAGAACUUUUUUUAAAAACUAUUUUCUAGGGAACAGGUCUGUUCAAGUUUAGGGGUCCUGGUCGUGAGCCAGCCCCUCCUCAUACUCCUUCGAACAAGCAACCCCAACUUAAUGUUGAAUGAAAGAGAAUGGCUACUGGAUCAGUCUUCUCAAUUUUGCUGAUGAUUUUUGUAUUGAAUCUGACAAUAGGUUCAUCAACUGCAGCCCCCAACUUUACUACUACAGAAACCACUGAACAAACAACACCCAGUGCUAUACCUGCUUCAACAGCAGAGACGACAGCAGCUAAUUUCAACACUUCAGGGACCACAACAGUUUUCCUUCUCUCAGCUGUCCUGAAUACAACAUAUGAAUCACAACUCAAUGACAACAACAGUGUUCAGUUCCAGACUCUCCAAA